UUAUAAAUAAAAUUAAUUAAUAAGAAAUUAAAUGAAAACAUUAAAUUUAAAUAAUUUGGCGGUAUUUUAAAUAGUUAGAGGAAUUUGUUAAUUAAAUGAUAGUCCACGAAUGGAAUGUCCUAUUAAGAUUUUAUGUAUUGUUGUAUAAAAAUUAUUUUAAGAGAAUUAUAAUUAAAAUAUUUGAUUUAAUUUGAAUUCAAAUCAAAAUGUAGAAUUAAUAGGUUAUAAUGAGUUACAAUUUAAUUUAAUAUAAUAUUUAUUUUUUUAAUUAAAAUAAUUGAUUAGGAUUUAAAAGUAAAUUUAAAAAAAUUUUUAAGUUGAAAUAGUAAUUAAAAUAUG
rnacentral:rRNA from 1 species